rnacentral:rRNA from 1 species
AUUGAACGCUGGCGGCAGGCUUAACACAUGCAAGUCGAACGAAGUUAGGAAGCUUGCUUCUGAUACUUAGUGGCGGACGGGUGAGUAAUGCUUAGGAAUCUGCCUAGUAGUGGGGGAUAACUUGGGGAAACCCAAGCUAAUACCGCAUACGACCUACGGGUGAAAGGGGGCUUUUAGCUCUCGCUAUUAGGUGAGCCUAAGUCGGAUUAGCUGGUUGGUGGGGUAAAGGCCUACCAAGGCGACGAUCUGUAGCUGGUCUGAGAGGAUGAUCAGCCACACUGGGACUGAGACACGGCCCAGACUCCUACGGGAGGCAGCAGUGGGGAAUAUUGGACAAUGGGCGAAAGCCUGAUCCAGCCAUGCCGCGUGUGUGAAGAAGGCCUUUUGGUUGUAAAGCACUUUAAGUGGGGAGGAAAAGCUUAUGGUUAAUACCCAUAAGCCCUGACGUUACCCACAGAAUAAGCACCGGCUAACUCUGUGCCAGCAGCCGCGGUAAUACAGAGGGUGCAAGCGUUAAUCGGAAUUACUGGGCGUAAAGCGCGCGUAGGUGGUUAUUUAAGUCAGAUGUGAAGCCCCGGGCUUAACCUGGGAACUGCAUCUGAUACUGGAUAACUAGAGUGUGUGAGAGGGGAGUAGAAUUCCAAGUGUAGCGGUGAAAUGCGUAGAUAUCUGGAGGAAUACCGAUGGCGAAGGCGAUUUUCUGGUCUCAUAUUGACACUGAGGGCUCGAAAGCGUGGGUAGCGAACAGGAUUAGAUACCCUGGUAGUCCACGCCGUAAACGAUGAGUGCUAAGUGUUGGGGGCUUUCCGGCCCUCGGUGCUGGAGCUAACGUAUUAAGCACUCCGCCUGGGGAUUACGACCGCAAGGUUGAAACUCAAAAGAAUUGACGGGGACCCGCACAAGCGGUGGAGCAUGUGGUUUAAUUCGAAGCAACGCGAAGAACCUUACCAGCUCUUGACAUCUUCUGACAACUCUAGAGAUAGAGCGUUCCCUUCGGGGACAGAAUGACAGGUGGUGCAUGGUUGUCGUCAGCUCGUGUCGUGAGAUGUUGGGUUAAGUCCCGUAACGAGCGCAACCCUUGUUGUUAGUUGCCAGCAUUAAGUUGGGCACUUUAACGAGACUGCCGGUGAUAAACCGGAGGAAGGCGGGGAUGACGUCAAAUCAUCAUGCCCCUUAUGAGCUGGGCUACACACGUGCUACAAUGGAUGGUACAACGAGCAGCGAUCCCGCAAGGGCUAGCUAAUCUUUCAAAGCCAUUCUCAGUUCGGAUUGCACUCUGCAACUCGAGUGCAUGAAGUCGGAAUCGCUAGUAAUCGCGAAUCAGAAUGUCGCGGUGAAUCCGUUCCCGGGUCU